rnacentral:rRNA from 1 species
GCCAGACUCCUACGGGAGGCAGCAGUGGGGGAUAUUGCACAAUGGGGGGAACCCUGAUGCAGCGACGCCGCGUGGGUGAAGGAGCGUUUCGGCGCGUAAAGCCCUAUCGGCAGGGAAGAAGGAGGACGGUACCUGACUAAGAAGCCCCGGCUAACUACGUGCUAGCAGCCGCGGUAAUACGUAGGGGGCAAGCGUUAUCCGGAUUUACUGGGUGUAAAGGGAGCGUAGACGGCAAUACAAGUCGGAAGUGAAAUACCCGGGCUCAACCUGGGAACUGCUUUGGAAACUGUAUGGCUAGAGUGCUGGAGAGGUAAGCGGAAUUCCUAGUGUAGCGGUGAAAUGCGUAGAUAUUAGGAGGAACACCAGUGGCGAAGGCGGCUUACUGGACAGUAACUGACGUUGAGGCUCGAAAGCGUGGGGAGCAAGCAGGAUUAGAUACCCGAGUAC